UACGUAGGGCGCAAGCGUUGUCCGGAAUUAUUGGGCGUAAAGAGCUCGUAGGCGGCUUGUCGCGUCGGAUGUGAAAGCCCAUGGCUUAACUGUGGGUCUGCAUCCGAUACGGGCAGGCUAGAGGCAGGUAGGGGAGAACGGAAUUCCCGGUGUAGCGGUGAAAUGCGCAGAUAUCGGGAGGAACACCGGUGGCGAAGGCGGUUCUCUGGGCCUGUACUGACGCUGAGGAGCGAAAGCGUGGGGAGCGAACAGG
rnacentral:rRNA from 1 species